ACCCCCCAAUGCCCGACCCUAUUCGAAGAUCUUCUCUUCUUCCUCGAAGCCAAUGUGUCGUCGCUCCGCCGUUGUCAUUGGAACCUCUGUGUGAAGCUCGGAGCCUUGCUGCAUGGAGCUGCUGCCGUAGUGGGUCCUCCUCAGCGAUGUCACCAGCCCCAAUUCCCAGCUCCUGGUGGUACACUUGGGUUCGCCCUGAAGGUGAUGGUCUCACAGCCUUGAUGUGUUCGCUGCUGCUCCUUUGCCGCGCAACCUUCUGCCCAGUAGUUAGUCCGGCGGCAUCCCCUCCGCUGACCCUUCUCCCUAUGUUGAUCGUGUCGCUGUUGGUGUCAUUAAUCGGCCAUGGCAAAGUCGUGGGUUGAAACCGCUAUUCCCCUUCAGCUUCUGAAACUGAAACCUGAUUGUCUUGAUUUCGAUUGUGUUGAUUAUGCUAAAGAUUAGCGAAUCCUGCUUCUGUUCUGAUUAUAUUCCUGACCUGUACAGGCGGAAUAAUUGUCCACUGCCUCUGUAGCUGAUUUUCUGCUGCCAUCGCUGUCAGUUGGUGAGCUAAAUUGUUGCCUUCUCAUGGAGUCCAAGUAGCUCCCACAUCCGGAGCCUCUUCCAACAAUUGCAGAAUAUCUCUGAUGAUUGCGUCUGCUUCAGCUAAGGGCGUUCUUGCCUUAAUGGCUUGAACCAGAGUCUCUGAUCACCGCUGCUGAUGCUGCCAUGCCUGUUUCCUUGUAAAAUGGCGCGUCUAUGUUCACUUUCGCCCUGUUGUGCGGCGAAGGCCUCCAGGUAAUUCUCCUACUCUCACCAUUCUUGCCUGCUAUAGGUUUGUUAUCUCUAAUGAAGUCCUUUGUUGCAUUAUGGUAUUUUGUUGCAAGCUGUUCUGAAUAGAUUAUUGCCUUUUGUGGAUUGAUUUUUGUUUGCUGGAAUAUGUGCUGGUUCCUCACUUUUCAAAUGCACCAACAAACACAUUUCAAAUUGCACAAAAUUUUGUCCUGUUCAUUUCCUGUCUCACUCUUGAUUUUGUCAAUUGUGUUCAUCAUCCAUUUUAUAAAAGAUCCCACAGUAUAAGCCGUAGGCACAAUUUAAAGGCUAGAUCCAAACCACACCGCUCUAGUCCACGGGCACAAGAGUAACACGUGUUCUAUUGUCUCAUCUUGUUCCUGCCAUAUGCUGCACGUGGGUGUAAGAGCUCUUUUGCGCUGAUAUAAUUUCGUGUUUACUGGCAGAAUUUCGUGCACUAAUUUCCAUAAAAACAUUCUAAACUUUCCCGGCACUGGUAAUCUCCAAAUAGUCUCCCAUACCUCCCUCAAAUUCUGACUUGUCGAUACUUUGCCGAGUUUUGUCUCUUCCUUUGUAUCUUUCUCCUCCUUCGCAGCAUGGUAUCCGGUUCUGACUGAGUACUGUCUGUCAUUUCUAUAGGCCAAACAAAAUGAUCCUUUUUAUUAAUCAAACUAAUGGGCGUUCUGGUUAUCAGCUCAGCCAUAUUACCAUGAAAAAUAUUACGAAUUUUGUCUAAGUCCCAGCCCUCGCCCUCUCUUACCAGCUCGCUCACUCUUCUAUAUCGAUUUUCUCCGCCUCUUCCCAACUUAUCUAUUCUUACCACCCAAUUAUCUUCCCAAAUGUCUAUCGCUGCUCCACUUCCUACACUCCACCUUCCCUUCCUUCUGAGGAAAUCUCUUCCCUCUAACAUACUCCUCCAUAUCCAUGAUGCGUUUCCUCCUCUUCCCGCUUCCCAUAGGCUGCAAUUAGGAUAGUAAAUGGCCUUUAGUAUCCGAGUCCAUAUUGCAUCUUCCUCUUUUAGAAGUCUCCAAGCUUACUUAGCCAAAACUUUUACUUUAUA